UUGUGCUUGGCAUAAAUUAAAAUUGGAACAACACAGAAAAGAUUAGCCUGGUCCCCACACAAGGAUGACACGCAAAUUCCCGAAGUGUUCCAUAUUUUU
ensembl:snRNA U6 U6 spliceosomal RNA